rnacentral:rRNA from 1 species
UAGGGAAUCUUCCGCAAUGGACGAAAGUCUGACGGAGCAACGCCGCGUGAGCGAUGAAGGCCUUCGGGUCGUAAAGCUCUGUUGUCAGGGAAGAACAAGUACCGGAGUAACUGCCGGUACCUUGACGGUACCUGACCAGAAAGCCACGGCUAACUACGUGCCAGCAGCCGCGGUAAUACGUAGGUGGCAAGCGUUGUCCGGAAUUAUUGGGCGUAAAGCGCGCGCAGGCGGUUCCUUAAGUCUGAUGUGAAAGCCCCCGGCUCAACCGGGGAGGGUCAUUGGAAACUGGGGAACUUGAGUGCAGAAGAGGAGAGCGGAAUUCCACGUGUAGCGGUGAAAUGCGUAGAGAUGUGGAGGAACACCAGUGGCGAAGGCGGCUCUCUGGUCUGUAACUGACGCUGAGGCGCGAAAGCGUGGGGAGCGAACAGGAUUAGAUACCCUGGUAGUCCACGCCGUAAACGAUGAGUGCUAAGUGUUAGAGGGUUUCCGCCCUUUAGUGCUGCAGCAAACGCAUUAAGCACUCCGCCUGGGGAGUACGGCCGCAAGGCUGA